UGGGGAAUUUUGGACAAUGGGCGCAAGCCUGAUCCAGCCAUGCCGCGUGCGGGAAGAAGGCCUUCGGGUUGUAAACCGCUUUUGUCAGGGAAGAAAUCUUCUGAGUUAAUACCUCGGGAGGAUGACGGUACCUGAAGAAUAAGCACCGGCUAACUACGUGCCAGCAGCCGCGGUAAAUACGUAGGGUGCAAGCGUUAAUCGGAAUACUGGGCGUAAAGCGUGCGCAGGCGGUUUUGUAAGACAGAGGUGAAAUCCCCGGCUCAACCUGGGAACUGCCUUUGUGACUGCAAGGCUUGAGUGCGGCAGAGGGGGGAUGGAAUUCCGCGUGUAGCAGUGAAAUGCGUAGAUAUGCGGAGGAACACCGAUGGCGAAGGCAAUCCCCUGGGCCUGCACUGACGCUCAUGCACGAAAGCGUGGGGAGCAAACAGGAUUAGAUAGCCCUGGUAGUCCACGCCCUAAACGAUGUCAAC
rnacentral:rRNA from 1 species